rnacentral:rRNA from 1 species
CCUACGGGUGGCUGCAGUGGGGAAUAUUGCACAAUGGGCGCAAGCCUGAUGCAGCCAUGCCGCGUGUGUGAAGAAGGCCUUCGGGUUGUAAAGCACUUUCAGCGGGGAGGAAGGCGUUAAGGUUAAUAACCUUGGCGAUUGACGUUACCCGCAGAAGAAGCACCGGCUAACUCCGUGCCAGCAGCCGCGGUAAUACGGAGGGUGCAAGCGUUAAUCGGAAUUACUGGGCGUAAAGCGCACGCAGGCGGUCUGUCAAGUCGGAUGUGAAAUCCCCGGGCUCAACCUGGGAACUGCAUUCGAAACUGGCAGGCUAGAGUCUUGUGGAGGGGGGUAGAAUUCCAGGGGUAGCGGUGAAAUGCGUAGAGAGCUGGAGGAAUACCGGUGGCGAAGGCGGCCCCCUGGACAAAGACUGACGCUCAGGUGCGAAAGCGUGGGGAGCAAACAGGAUUAGAUACCGGGUAGUC